AAGGAAGUUCGAGCUUUCAAUGCAGGAAUUUCGAAGCAACACGAAAUACCUCGUCAUAGUGCCAGUACAUGUGAGCAAAGAGCAGGAGGAAGACAAACUUACCAGCCAACUCACGAAGAGUGCAAUGCCAUUGAUUGUAUAAGCUCGAGUUUUCUUCAUGUCCGCCGCUGCCAGGCGUCGUGCUCUCGGACAGGAGUACCGUGUAUAGAUAUAUGUGUGCAUAUCCGCUAUGCACUGCCAGGAAGAGCGAGAUAAUGGAGACAGCGUGAUGAACAACCUGUUACGUAUGACCGGUUCGGAUAAUAUUUCAGCAACAUCGCCAUGUCCGUGAUAAAGUAUCCAUUUGAGACCUGGAAGAACAGUAUGAUCGAUGGAAGAUUUUUCCAACAUAAAGUACCGAACCCCGAGGAAGAACUGGGUGAAGAUGGUGCUCCGGAACACAACAGGUCCAUACGCCACCUCUUCUCUAAACAGGUCCGAGACGAAGAAAAGAUAUCCGGCCACCAAUGUCGCGACGACGGCGUGCGUGAAAGAGAUUGCCCUGCAUUAUGGUCAAACCGCGAUUUCUCCAUCUUCUUCACAGUGACGCGACUCACAUAAACCCGCCUACAAAACUUUAAAUACUACGAGCAGACCGAAUUGACUUGGAAUACCUGUUGUUCCACUCGACCCUGUCCUUGUCCGAGAGCUUGGUGUACGCAUUUGGGAAGAGAACCGGGCCGUAAGCCUGCAUCGACUCGAAUGCCUGCUCGACAAGUCGACCGAUCCAUGUGAGAAUCGACGUGGCCCAGAGCAAUGGCUUCUUGUAGCCAAAAUCUCCCAUCACAUCCUCCAGUUGGGUCUGGAAAAGCACUGCCUUCUCCAUCGCCGUCGUCACGAAAGAGAACCCACAGAGGAAGGAGAAGAUAAAAAUCCAACGUUGUGAGAAUCGUGGGGACGGUGCCUCCUGAUCGCGGGAAGGGAUCGACGGCCGUCCGGGGCCAACGGAGGUCGCGAGUUCGAAACAGUAGAACGCCUCUCUGGAGUCACUGGUCAGCAUGUACGCGAGCGCGUAAAAUAAAACGUACGGAAUGGGCGUCUCUUUUUAUAUAGGGCUUUUCUCUGGUC